rnacentral:lncRNA from 1 species
UGUAGUUCAGUGUCUGCGUCUAAGAGAGUACUUUGUUGCUGCACCCGCCAGAGGGAAGAAAUACUGUAUCUUCUCAUGAAGGAAGGAACCGAAGGUUUACAAGUAUUGUGGCUGAAGGCUGUGUCUAUUCCUGCUUCCUCCACCUCACCUUGCAAAAGUGUUUAUCCAAAUAAAUCCCUCACACAUCUAAUCCCAUUUUGGCAAAUUCAGUUUCAGAACUUUGCCUUCACUACUAGUCUCAAGGAAAAUAUAUUAAUACACACACACACACACACACACACACACGCAUGCACACACACACAUAUGUAUAUAUUUCCCAAUCUAUUAUAGGUAAAAUAUACUCUUAUCACGAAUAAAUCCAAAUUGUGAAUGCUUAAAAUAUACUUUACAGAAUAUUAAAAUUUAAAAGCAUCACAGGAAAAAUAUUAAUACUGUUUACAGAAUUUCAAUAUGUGAAUAAUAUUUACAUUACAGUUUCAUAUGAACCUUUUACUUCUCUAUUUAGUAUGCCAUUAUGUCACUGCAGAGGUAUGAAAAGGAGAGCUCUCCUAGUUGUGAAAAAAGAAACAUGUUUUAUUGGGAGCUAAGUGGAAGGUUGAACAUGUGGGAAUAUCUGGGCAUGCACUGAAGACACCUUUUGCAUCUCCCCCAUCCACAUAGCAAAGUGAAUGUGGUUUGUGUCCAUUUAUGCAGGAUACUCUGGAAAACCAAACUGAAACAAGGUUAACAUACAUUUUUAAAAGAAAACUAAAGGAAAACAACACAUACUUUAUUACCUAUCAAAGUAACCACUUCAUUAUAUUUUAGUGGAAGCUAUUAUUUAUUAUCGAAUUAUUUGCUUUGGCAGGAGGAUACAGGGUUUUCCCAUUUGGGUUGUAUAUGUUCCUCAUGAGAAAAGCUGAAGACAAAAUCUUACCCUUCUGCCCAAAGUCAAUUGAAUCAACAUGUUUACCUUGCUCCACGGAGCUGCUAACCUACUGGCUGGGUGUUGUGUGGCUUGGCAAUGGAGUUCUGCAUGACGGGAACAAUGGUUUUUAAGUGGACUAAUCAGAGCUGUUAAUGCAUAUGCAGUGAAGGCAGGAACUUUGCUACAUGCAGGGCUUAUCAUUUUGCUAAUAACAAUGCCUGGCACAGAUUAGCAAUUUGUUGAAAUAAAACAUUCUGGGAGAUGUAAGAUAGAGAAAGAGAGCAGCAUGUAGUAGAAAUAGAUGUCGAAAGAUGAAUUAAGAUGAUGCAUUAAGCUUGAAACGUGAGGCAGAGAAAGCUGUACAUAAGUUGAAGGCUUUGAGUUAAAAGACUAUAGGAAUUAGAUGAGUGGGGGCUAUGGAGAACGGAGAGAAUUUAGAGUGUGGACAAGCGUUCUAUGAGCAGAGACUGGGACUAGCCAAAACGUGAUGAUGGGCAGCUAGCUUGGAAAGAAUGCUUACAACGUGAAAAUUAUAUAUUUACAAAAGGCCAUUACUUCUGUUAAAGAACAAUAGACCCCAGUGAAAAGAAAGGAAAUUGAAAAAUAGAGAAAAUGUGGAGAAAACUAGAAUCUCUAUAGACAGCAUCAAUGCAGCAUCAAUUAUGUGAACCACUUUUGAGCACAAAGAAAUAUUGUUUUGACCUUGGAGGCAAUUUGGUCUUCAUUAGGUUUAGCUGUAGGAUAGUUGAUGUUCAUUAUUCCCUAUAAUGCUUGUGAUGGCAAAACCUUCACAAAUUUAUAUGAUCUAGGUAUGUUUUCAAUCCUUACAACCCAAGUAACCGAUCAUAACUCUCACUAUGUCAUUUGAAAAAAAAAAUGAUCAUCAGAAGUGUAAUUCAAUUAGCAAGUAUCAGUAGUGGAGUAUAAAUUAUUGGUUAAUACUAAGCAUGAUGGAAAAAUCAUAGUAGAUGGAAAUAUGGGAAUCUUUAUUUUGGAUGAAUAAACUUUAUGCCUAAAACAUAUGUUUAUAAAAAAUACUUUGUGAAUAAACCCAUUGUCUAAUAUUUAAAAGAGUUGAAGUAUGCUAUUAUAAGACCUUCCUUAAUUGAUGAAAUGAUGCAAAGCCAAUAAUAUUGCUCCACUUCCUGAAGUAUAGAGAUGAACAGAAACCUUUUUCUUUAUUCCAUGUUCUAUAUAAGUCGAGAACUAGAGCUCAAGAUUAAGUUUUUUGUUUUUUGUUUUUUUUUCCAUUUCCCUGGGAACAGAGCAACAGUCUCUCUGGGUCUAAAACAUCCUUUUUUCGGUACAUCCCACAGCAUCCUAUAGAAAUAUGUUGCAAUCAGUUGCCAAGUCACGUCCUAGCUUAAUGUCAGCAAUUUUCUUUCUGAACCAAUUUUGCACUCAGCAUUAAGAGGAAAUAUUGAAGGGAGACAUACCUUUUAUGUUUGUAAAAUUUAUACUUCUUAAGAUAAAAAGGCAACUAUAUCCAUUGUCGUGAGAUCUUGAGAAGAAAUAAGAAAAUGAAAUAUUAUAGAAAAUAUUAUAUUAUUUAAUUGUCCUGUUCUAAAACACUUUCUAAGCCUGCCUGUUUUUUUGCCAAAUUAAAUCAAUAUUUGGAUGUAGACAGCUUUUCAGAGUGGCAGUAUCAUAGUCAAUGAAGAUGACCUGAGGCACAAUUAUUGCUAAUUGGACAUAGAAACCACCUUCACUCAUAUAUAAAAAUUAUUAUGUGCUAUACUAGAUAUUUCAGGAGAAUUGAUAAAAGAAAGACUGUUGUAUUCAUAUGCUUGUCUUCCUGGCUAGAGGAUCUGUUUUAAUUAAUCAGCUCAUGGAGUUUGGAAAAUAUUUAUAGUAUACAUAGCUGAGUGUUCAUGUAAAUUUUGAAUACAUUCAUACAACUUUUUUUUUAAAAAAAGAUUGAACUUCAAAACCAUUUUCUUACAUACUCAGUAGAAGUUGUUAUAAGCCAACAUUUUUUGUGAGCUAUACUAUUUUAAACAUCUAAAGUAAAUUAUUUGACAUAUAAAAAGACUUCUUCAUUUAAAAAUAUAUCUUUUAAAAAUAAUUUUACAAGUGAUGGCAUCUCAUUUUAGAAGAAGAGGCAUCAAUGACAGCAGUUACAGUAACUCGAUGCUGAAUAUGUUUUUAAAUACCAGAUGCUGUGUUCAGCAUUGUACAUACAUUAUCAAAUUUUAUUCUGAUAAUAUGCUGCAUGAUGUAUUAGGCUGGGUUCUCUCAGACAGAACCUACACGUAUACAUAUAUAUAUACACACAUGCAUAUACCUACACAUACAGAGAGAGAGAGAGAGAUGUACAUUUAUUAUAGGAAUUGGAUCAUGCGAUUAUGCGGGCCGAGAAGUUCCAGGAUAGGUUGUCUGCAAGCUGGAGAACCAGGGAAGAGAGUAGAGUAGCUUUCUCCAAGUCCUGAAGCUUCAGAACUAGGGAAACUGAUGGUAUAACUCUCAGUCAGAGGCCAAAGGCCUGAGAACUCAGACAGCCACUUUGCAACUCCUGGAAUCCCAAGGCCAGACAGCCUGGAGUUUGGAUGUCCAAAAGCACCAGAAGGAGGGUGUCUUAGGUCCAGGAGAGAGCGAGCUUUCCUAUGCAUUUUUGUUUUAUCCAUACCCCUGACCAAUUGGAUGGUGCCCACCCGCAUUGAGGGUGGGUGUCCCUCUAUUAAAUAUUUUAACUAUAAUUUUAACUGUGAUAUAGGCACUGAAUUCUUGUUGCUAAUAAUCUGGUAAGAUCCAUCUGAACUAUGAAGUGAGUACCUGGAGGAACUCCUACAUUUUAGGCUUUCAAAGGUUACAGGCUUUUCGUGUGUGUGUGUGUGUGUGUGUGUGUUUUGAGAAAAAUGGAAUUGAAACACUGUGAUUAGAAUGUUUACUUAUAUAGAAUUUAUGAAUGAAUGUAUAUAAUAAUUACUGUAUAUAAUUUUAAAAUAUAAUAAAGUCUCUUUAUCCA